UAAGAGGGGAAAAAUACAUUUAAAUUCCUAACGAUUUAAAAAUACAUUUAAGUCACUGAUUCUGGACAUAUUAAUCCUGUGUUCACUUGAGUCUGACAAACCCAAUGAAAAAAUCAAACAUGGCUUCUAUUGUACUGCCUGGUCGAUAUACGAAUACAUACGUAGGAGAAUUUUUAAAAUAUGACAAAUUAGACCUAGGGAUUGAUAUGUCUAGAUUUUGAGAAAAUCAAAGACUUAAAUGUAUUUUCAAAUCGUUAGGGAUAUAAAUGUCUGCGGACCAAAAAGUUCAAAGGAUCUAUUUCUCCUUUUCUCUUGAUUUUAUGAUUCUAAAAACUGAAAGUGGAAUUUUAAUUAAGUUAGUUGAACAAUUUUAUAAAGUGUACAGACAAAUGAGUAAUGAAGUAACUUCGAAUAAAAAUAUAUAUAUAUUUUAAUUAUAAGCUCUUGUUAAGAGAAAAAUUGCACGAAAGAAGAAUGCAACAUAUAUAUGUUAGGGAAAAGAGAAGAGAAUGGCGGAUUUUAUUAAUGAUGUGUAAUGUGUAAUUUGUUUAUUAUAAUGGAAGGCUGAAAAAAUGAUAAUAUUAUAUAAUAUAUAGUAAGAGAGAGUUUGAAGAGGUAGCUAUAUAUAUAAAGCUGAGGAAGCUGCAUUGUGCGGUGACCCCAUUCAUCGGAGAUUAUUGUUAGUUCUUCUUGAAUCUGAGAGAGAAGGAAAGAAAGAAAGAAAGAAAGAUGUCACAGUCACGGCCAAAAGAAACGGUGUACGUGGAGCAGUGUAUGGGCGUUAAUGGCCUCGAGAAGAUCGUUCUCAGAGAAGUUCGUGGCUUCUCCGCGGAGGUAUAUUUGUACGGAGGUCAGGUUACAUCUUGGAAGAAUGAACUUGGGGAAGAAUUGCUCUUUGUCAGUAGUAAGGCUACUUUUACGCCUCCAAAAUCUAUCCGUGGAGGUAUUCCGUUAUGCUUUCCUCAAGUUUCAAAUCAUGGCCCUCUUGAACUACAUGGAUUUGCAAGGAACAGAUUUUGGACCUUAGAUCCUAAUCCCCCUCCAUUUCCAACAAACAGCACAACCAGAGCUUUUAUUGAUUUGAUUCUUAAGAACUCUGAAGAGGAUAUAAGGACUUGGCCUCACAGAUAUGAGUUUCGCCUGAGGGUAGCUUUGGCACCUACGGGAGAUUUGAUGAUGACAUCCCGCAUUCGAAACACAAAUACGGAUGGAAAAUCCUUUACUUUCACAUUUGCCUAUCAGACAUACCUCUAUGUUACUGACAUCAGUGAAGUGCGAAUAGAAGGAUUAGAAACACUGGAUUACCUGGACAACUUGAAGGAAAAAGUGCGAUUUACUGAACAAGGGGAUGCCAUAACAUUUGAAUCCGAGUGGUAUGGAAUCCAUGGGACAAAAAAGCAAAGACCAUAGCAGAUUUAGGGGAUGAUGAAUAUAAAAAUAUGCUGUGUGUCCAGUCUGCUUGUGUAGAAAAAGCAAUUACUCUCAAACCUGGUGAAGAGUGGAAAGGAAGGCAGGAAUUAUGUGCGGUGCCUUCCAGUUAUUGCAGUGGCCAACUUGAUCCAAAGAGAGUACUUUUGAGCUAUUAGAUCAAUGGGAUUGCCUUCGUCUUUGUACAGGUAUGAUGCAGUUAGGUGUAUUUCCUGAAGGAACUUUUGUUGUGUUAGCGGUGCUGCCAGAAAAUUGUUGCUUGGAUCUCUUGAGGUUUGAGGGCGGAUUCACUACUACCGAAAUUGUGUAUAUGGUUUUAGCCUUGAGUGUCUUCUGCAGCUUGAGCCGGAGAUGAACUAAGUUGGUGGAAAGAAUUUAGUAUACUUGUAGAUCUACGCAGCAUUUUCCAUUGGAAGAUUAGAACAACGCACUUGAUGCAUGUCUUCUUUUCUAAACAUCCCUCUCCUUAAUAGAUAAUAAUAGAUUUAUUGCACUAUUUCUUCUGCCUCGAAUGCAACUAGUUUACUAUUUAAUCGUGCUUGCUUUCUCUGCCCUACAAUUAAUUCCUCAUGAGGUUCCAUGAUAAGUGUUUUGUAUCAAAUAACUAACCAAAGGGCUGCUAUAUUUUCUGAUGCUGCAAUCCCAAUUCAAGACUUACAGUAACAGCCGCGAUUGAUGGAAGAGCUAUGAGAGUUGACAUGGAGAUACUGACUUUUUUUUUCCAUUCCAUUAAUCACUUGUUAUGUUGGAGAAAGAGAAGCAGAAAACA